UGUUCUGUGGUGAAGUUGGUUAACGCAUCCUGUUUAGCAAAUUGGGAAGACGUGGAUUUGAAUCCCACCAAAACUG
rnacentral:tRNA from 1 species